UCGGCAUUAGCUCAACGGGAGAGAGCACGGAGCUUCUACCUCUGUGGUUAGGGAGUUGAAUCCUCGAUGGCGAACCA
rnacentral:tRNA from 1 species